GUUAUUGGGCUCAUUGUUCUGGAAGCUGGGGAAUACAAAACAUGGUGCUGACAUGUGACAAGGACUUUAAUACAGCGUUACCCGUUUCUGGAAAUUGAAAGAGCAAGAAAGGACUAGUCUAAAAGAAACCUUUGCAACCGAAGAAUGAUCUUAAGGUGUGUGGAAGUUUAAAAGGUUUGCCAGGUGAUUUGAGUUAUGCCAAAGAUAUUUGUGAUUCAUCUUCAGCUGAAACUGAGGAUCUAAGAACGUCUUGAAAGAUUCUUCACGGGAAGGGACACACAUUCUGUUGCCAUGAUAAGAGAACUGGAGCAAAGGCUCAUACAUGGAAGAGACUUGCCUUGUCUCAGGCUGGGCGCAAUGGCUCACACCUGUAAUCCAUUGGGAGGCGUGGGCAGGCAGAUCACCUGAGGUCAGGAGUUCAAGACCAGCCUGAUCAACAUGGAGAAACCCUGUCUCUACAAAACAACAGUAACAACAACAACAACAGCAAAAUAUCCACCAAAUUUAAAAAUAAG
rnacentral:lncRNA from 13 species